rnacentral:misc_RNA from 1 species
UCUCCGUUGGUGAACCAGCGGAGGGAUCAUUACCGAGUUUACAACUCCAAAACCCCUGUGAACAGACCUGUUUUGUUGCUGCGGCGGUGCCCUCGCUCUCGCGGCGAGGCCCGCCAGAGGACCGAAACAAACUCUUUGACUUUGAUCUAGGAAUAUCCUUCUGAGUGAUACAAAAAAUAAAAUCACAACUUUCAACAACGGAUCUCUUGGUUCUG